rnacentral:rRNA from 1 species
UGGGGAAUAUUGGACAAUGGGCGCAAGCCUGAUCCAGCCAUGCCGCGUGAGUGAUGAAGGCCUUCGGGUUGUAAAGCUCUUUUGUCCGGGAAGAUAAUGACUGUACCGGAAGAAUAAGCCCCGGCAAACUUCGUGCCAGCAGCCGCGGUAAUACGAAGGGGGCUAGCGUUGUUCGGAUUUACUGGGCGUAAAGCGCACGUAGGCGGCUUGUUAAGUCAGAGGUGAAAUCCCAGGGCUCAACCCUGGAACUGCCUUUGAUACUGGCAGGCUCGAGUAUGGUAGAGGUUGGUGGAACUGCGAGUGUAGAGGUGAAAUUCGUAGAUAUUCGCAAGAACACCAGUGGCGAAGGCGGCCAACUGGACCAUUACUGACGCUGAGGUGCGAAAGCGUGGGGAGCAAACA